UACGAAGGGGGCUAGCGUUGUUCGGAAUCACUGGGCGUAAAGGGUGCGUAGGCGGGUCUUUAAGUCAGGGGGGAAAUCCUGGAGCUCAACUCCAGAACUGCCUUUGAUACUGAGGAUCUUGAGUUCGGGAGAGGUGAGUGGAACUGCGAGUGUAGAGGUGAAAUUCGUAGAUAUUCGCAAGAACACCAGUGGCGAAGGCGGCUCACUGGCCCGAUACUGACGCUGAGGCACGAAAGCGUGGGGAGCAAACAGG
rnacentral:rRNA from 1 species